rnacentral:rRNA from 1 species
UUAAAUUGAAGAGUUUGAUCAUGGCUCAGAUUGAACGCUGGCGGCAGGCCUAACACAUGCAAGUCGAACGGUAACAGGAAGCAGCUUGCUGCUUUGCUGACGAGUGGCGGACGGGUGAGUAAUGUCUGGGAAACUGCCUGAUGGAGGGGGAUAACUACUGGAAACGGUGGCUAAUACCGCAUAACGUCGCAAGACCAAAGAGGGGGACCUUCGGGCCUCUUGCCAUCAGAUGUGCCCAGAUGGGAUUAGCUUGUUGGUGAGGUAACGGCUCACCAAGGCGACGAUCCCUAGCUGGUCUGAGAGGAUGACCAGCCACACUGGAACUGAGACACGGUCCAGACUCCUACGGGAGGCAGCAGUGGGGAAUAUUGCACAAUGGGCGCAAGCCUGAUGCAGCCAUGCCGCGUGUAUGAAGAAGGCCUUCGGGUUGUAAAGUACUUUCAGCGGGGAGGAAGGUGUUGUGGUUAAUAACCGCAGCAAUUGACGUUACCCGCAGAAGAAGCACCGGCUAACUCCGUGCCAGCAGCCGCGGUAAUACGGAGGGUGCAAGCGUUAAUCGGAAUUACUGGGCGUAAAGCGCACGCAGGCGGUCUGUCAAGUCGGAUGUGAAAUCCCCGGGCUCAACCUGGGAACUGCAUUCGAAACUGGCAGGCUUGAGUCUUGUAGAGGGGGGUAGAAUUCCAGGUGUAGCGGUGAAAUGCGUAGAGAUCUGGAGGAAUACCGGUGGCGAAGGCGGCCCCCUGGACAAAGACUGACGCUCAGGUGCGAAAGCGUGGGGAGCAAACAGGAUUAGAUACCCUGGUAGUCCACGCCGUAAACGAUGUCUACUUGGAGGUUGUGCCCUUGAGGCGUGGCUUCCGGAGCUAACGCGUUAAGUAGACCGCCUGGGGAGUACGGCCGCAAGGUUAAAACUCAAAUGAAUUGACGGGGGCCCGCACAAGCGGUGGAGCAUGUGGUUUAAUUCGAUGCAACGCGAAGAACCUUACCUGGUCUUGACAUCCACGGAACUUUCCAGAGAUGGAUUGGUGCCUUCGGGAACCGUGAGACAGGUGCUGCAUGGCUGUCGUCAGCUCGUGUUGUGAAAUGUUGGGUUAAGUCCCGCAACGAGCGCAACCCUUAUCCUUUGUUGCCAGCGGUCCGGCCGGGAACUCAAAGGAGACUGCCAGUGAUAAACUGGAGGAAGGUGGGGAUGACGUCAAGUCAUCAUGGCCCUUACGACCAGGGCUACACACGUGCUACAAUGGCGCAUACAAAGAGAAGCGACCUCGCGAGAGCAAGCGGACCUCAUAAAGUGCGUCGUAGUCCGGAUUGGAGUCUGCAACUCGACUCCAUGAAGUCGGAAUCGCUAGUAAUCGUGGAUCAGAAUGCCACGGUGAAUACGUUCCCGGGCCUUGUACACACCGCCCGUCACACCAUGGGAGUGGGUUGCAAAAGAAGUAGGUAGCUUAACCUUCGGGAGGGCGCUUACCACUUUGUGAUUCAUGACUGGGGUGAAGUCGUAACAAGGUAACCGUAGGGGAACCUGCGGUUGGAUCACCUCCUUACCUU